UAAAAAUUCCGCCCGCGCUCAGUUGUUAAUCUUAUCCAGAGAAGGUGGAAGGGGGGACAGCUUCGGCUGGGCUCUCGUCGGCGAGCUCGUCGGCCGUCCGGCUCUCCCCUCCACCUCCGACCCUCUCGGCCUCUCCUCCGCCUCCGGCGUCCCCGCCCCUCCCCCUGUAGGUGAGCUGGAGGAGGACCAUAGGUCAGGGAGUGUUUGGUUUCAGAGAGAUCGUUGGGGAGGAGUUCAUGACCAUGUUCCUGUCAGUUUUUAGCAGUAUGGUUCAGAGACUGGUUCCUAGGUAGGGGUUGAAGCUUGGGAAAGAAGACUAGAAGAGUCGGGUGAAUAUUGCAAAUCCCUCGACCAUUUUGAAGAAUGCAUGCUCCCGGGCCAUAGAAGAAAUCAGCAGGUGGACAUAGUUGAGGGCCUGAGGCAGCAAUAGUUCUUCGAAGGCACUGGGCAAUAAUUGAUUGGUCGAAGGUAGCGUUUUUUGUCGAGCUUCAAUUGACAGGGAAGAAACUGUUUCUAUAUGUGCCUUUGGUUUUCUUUCUCUUAUGGAGUUCGUACAGUUCUUUUUUCAGGGCAAGAGAUUCUUUAGCUAGAUAAGAAAGAGCACUCUGAUUAAUUAGAUCAGAAGUUGUUUUUUCCAUCGAGCUUCAGUUGACAGGGAAGAAAUUGUUUCUGUCUAUGCCUUUGGUUUUCUUUAACUUAGGGAGUUUGUAUAGUUUUUUUAGGGGAAGAGAUUCUUCAGCUAGAUGAGAAAGAGCACUCUGAUUAAUUAGAUCAGAAGUUGUGUGUGAUGAUAAUCGCUCGUGCAGACUACAAUACCACCAACCACCAGGUGAGGUCGUCAGUGAGGCGCCGUUAGUAGACAUGAGUAAAGCUUCUUGACCUAUACGUUUCAUGGUUUGGCAUAUUUGCUUCAUCGGAGUGCUUCAUGUACUUAUUCUGAUGAUUGAGAUCCUUAAUUUGCAUUGGUUUAUUUUUGCCGCAUCUCCUGCAAUACAUUAGUGAAAAGCUUAGCAGUGCUGAUUUCUAAACUUGAAGUUAUGGCUUGUUUAACCUCAUAAUAAUUUAGUUUUGGAGAGUGCAGAAAUCAUUUUGAGGAAACAGUGAACAAAAAAGUUGGGCAUCCUGGGUAAUCAGCUGGGAGAAGCCCAGAAAUUCUAACAGGAGUGGUGACAGUAGCAGCAACAUGCCUGAUACAAGGCCCCAGAAUAGUGAUUGGAGCAUUAAAGCCAUGGAUACACUCUUAUGUCAUAUAUACUUUUUAGUGUUCUUGAAAGUGCUUUGUUGGUUGUACAAGGAAUCGAUCUAACAACGUCAUUUCAUGAAGGAAGGGGUUGUACUUUCCUUACAGAGCAUAGCUCAUUAUGCAAGGCGUUCAUUAUUGCAACAUCUUGUCCAGGGCUAGCUCAUUCAUUAGGGGUUGCUCAGCUAUGCUUUUUUUUUCCUUUUUCUUUUUUAUUUCCUUAUUGGAUUAUAUGCUACUCGGUGUUGAAGGGUUUGUUCAUGCCAAAUUUAAGAAAUCUUGUGAUGUUACCAGAGAUUGCCCAUUUACUCAUUCGGCAUGGGAUGGUCAGGGUUUGUUUAUUUUUAUCAGCGGACUUCCGUUCAGA